rnacentral:lncRNA from 1 species
GCACUUCAGAAGAAGGCUGCCUUGACAACACUCUGUACACUAUAUGAUGCCAAGGAAAUAAUUUGCUGAAGAACCCCUAAUACAUGCAGUCCUUGUUUUCUUUCUUUCGUUCUUUCUUUUUUUUUUUCCUAGGAUAUCUGCUAUGGACCUUCUGGCUGAUUUUUCUCUUGUAAGAUCCAGAGCGAUCAUUGCCUGUCGUGUACUCAAACUUGCUUUAUACAGAAGACAGCAGAAAGCCACAAAAUUGGAGCCUCAGUAAUUUCUUUACACCCACCAUUUGCCAGUGUUCUGGAUUGGAAACCAACUGCAACAGCUACUGAGAGUCUCAUUCCUCCUCCACGUGAACCUCCUUCCAGGGAACUGUGAAAAUUCCCACUUCCAUCUCCUUCGCAUACUGGGGUUUCAUGACCAUUAAAACCCGUUCCUGGAACCAUGGGAUGGCCCCACAGCAUGCUUUUGAUCCAGCUCAGAUGUGGGCUUCUCCGUGGGAUGAGUGCCCAGCAAGUCCAGCCAUCAAAACCUACCUAGACCCUAUGGAGCUGCAUGCUCUGACUCAUCCCUACUGAAAUGUCCCCACACCCUGCCCCAGGGCUGUGCAUUCCUGGGCACUGGUUGCCUGUGCCUCAUGAGGUCUUUCUACCAAACUCAUCACUUUGGCUUGGUUCUGCAUCACCACACUGAAACUGUGCAAACUGCAAGCCACCAAACUGUACCUGUGAGCCACCUCACGGGGCACAUGUCCCACAGUGGCUUGGCUGCUGGACCACUCAGGGUGGGAUGCGCAACACACUGCAA